rnacentral:rRNA from 1 species
AACGAACGCUGUCGGCAUGCCUAACACAUGCAAGUCGAACGAGACCUUCGGGUCUAGUGGCGCACGGGUGCGUAACGCGUGGGAACCUGCCCUUAGGUUCGGAAUAACUCCCCGAAAGGGGUGCUAAUACCGGAUAAUGUCUUCGGACCAAAGAUUUAUCGCCUUUGGAUGGGCCCGCGUUGGAUUAGCUAGUUGGUAGGGUAAAAGCCUACCAAGGCGACGAUCCAUAGCUGGUCUGAGAGGAUGAUCAGCCACACUGGGACUGAGACACGGCCCAGACUCCUACGGGAGGCAGCAGUGGGGAAUAUUGGACAAUGGGCGAAAGCCUGAUCCAGCAAUGCCGCGUGAGUGAUGAAGGCCUUAGGGUUGUAAAGCUCUUUUACCCGGGAUGAUAAUGACAGUACCGGGAGAAUAAGCUCCGGCUAACUCCGUG